AACGCACGAGACCUGCGGACCUGCGGAGGGAUCAUUACACAAUACAAUAUGAAGGCUGUCCGCAGCUGGAGUAUUUUAUUACCCUUGUCUUUUGCGCACUUGUUGUUUCCUGGGCGGGUUCGCUCGCCACCAGGACCACCAAAUAAACCUUUUUUAUGCAGUUGCAAUCAGCGUCAGUACAAACAAUGUAAAUCAUUUACAACUUUUAGCAACGGAUCUCU
rnacentral:misc_RNA from 1 species